rnacentral:lncRNA from 1 species
GUAGCGAGGGAAGCCUCCUUCUUCCAAUAAUUUCUUCCACUCAAGCUCAGUCCUCUCUUUCCCGCCCGCGGUGUUAACCAUCAUAACUAAAUCAAAUGCAUAACCGGCGUCAUCAAACAGGCCUUGACCAUCAGGUUGUAAAAUAACAUCAAUAAUUAUCACUUUUCCAGUUUUUUCCGGUAUUGCUUUCCGGCAAUUCUUCAAAAUCUUUACACAAGCCUCAUCGCUCCAAUUGUGGAGCACCCACUGAACAAUAUUAAUUGCAAUGAAUUAAUUAUAUAAUAAAGUAAAAGUAUUCCAGACUACAUAUAUAAAUAUAGUGGUGAUUUAGUUCAGGAUCCUGAACUUUGUUAAAGUUCAGGACAAGUUAACAAUUGGAUGAAUAGACUUCUACAUCUUUGUAAAUUGUUUGACAAUAUUGUAAAAGUAUAUUUACACUAUUGUCAACUUGUCACGUAUUUUAGUUUUAAAUUAUAAGUUUGGAUUGUAAAAUUUUCUUAUAUCUACAUAUAGAGUCUAUCUCUAGUACAGUCGCCCUCAUUUCUUUUUUCAUGCGAACACAUUUUUAAAUCAUGAGAUUUAAAAGAGUUAGUUUUGAACUCUUUUAAACCGCAUGCUUUAUAAUUUAUUCAAAAAUAAUUCUUUUAAAUCAGAUGAUUUAAGAAUGUGCCCAUAUUAAAAAGAAGGCAGGCGCUCAGUUACGUUUAACGUAAUAUAUAUAUAUAUAUAUAUAUUAGUUACCUUCAAGAGAAGUGCGUCAGCAUUAGGAAUGGUGUGAAACAUGUCACCCGAAACAUGUGUGACCCCAUCAUAGACCGGUGCUGUGGUGAUGACAUGUGGUAAAUCAAAGUUGAUGCCUUUGAUGUGUGGAUAUGAUUUCACAAUCUCAGAUAUCAAACCUCCAAUCCCACCUGCCACAUCGACCAAUGAUUUCAAUGAAUCAAACCCAUGUUUAUAACCUGCUAAUAUUUCCCUUGUUAAGAUCUUGGAAUUACAAGCCAUGCCCUCAUUGAAGAUUUUGUUGAACUGUUGAUCUUUCGAUGCUAAAUCGAUAUAUGCAUCGCCAAAAGCCUUUUCAAUUGCACUACCACCUUCUUUGACACACUGGCUCAGGAAAUGCCAAGAGUUGACUAUGUAUGGAUGGUUCUCCACUAAGAAAACGGGUCCCAACUGGUUUGAAUCAGAGCCAGUGACAAGCCAUCUUGACGAGUGGGUCAGCCCGUAGAGGGGCUCUCCACCGUCUGAUGGAUGUUGUGCGGCGAAGAUGUUUUUAUGGCCUAAAAGUCUCAUGAUGCGUUCGAUGUAGGAUAUUUCAGGGGAGCAGGGAGAGUCAAUGGAUGAAGCUAUUUGGGAUGAAGUAAUCGGGCCGCCAUGAGAGUGAAUAAUGUCAGGGAUUCGAAGCUCAAUAGCACACUUCAAGGCCAGAGAAUCUAUGAAAGCAAACAUGUGUUUCCAUAUUUCUGCUUGGCCUCUUAGUGAUGCUUCACCUUCCACUGAUUCCAUUUCUAUCUUUGUCACUCUAUUUGGUGAAGACAGAAGGAAGAUUUACAGUAAUAUAUAUUGUUAGGAAAUUCAUAGUUUCUUCCUAAGAUCUCCACAAGCAUUAUGCAAAGUAAAUAAUAAUAUAAAAUGUUAAAUAGAGAAUAAUACUAACCACAUAAUAUAUGAUUCAUAUAAAAAACUCUAAUUAAAAAAAACCACGGUCAUUAGUAUAAGAUUUACCUGAAAAACUAUAAAUUAAAAAAAAACGGCGUCAUUAUUAAAAGACAACUAGAGUAAAAUUUACUAUGAAGAAAAUUGGUACCACUAUACUCACUGUAAUUUUUCUAGCUCGACUUACACUCAAUGACAGCAUUUCAACAAAGAAACACUUUUUUACCCAAGUUUACAAUUGUUCAUAUUGCCGGAACCAAGUGCUUCCAUAAUAUUAAUUUCAUUCUUAAGAAUAUUUCUCUCUAUUUUGAAAGCUCUGAAUGCUUCUCUUGCAUUCACAAAAUAAAUGCUCUCAAUUGGGAUACAUAGUUCUGGAGAAAGCCCUCCUUUUAUAGCCAAAUAGUGGCUUCAUAAAUCAAUAAUUUCGACUUAAACAUUGAGAGAUUGCGACAACAAAACGAAACACGCGAGGUAGCUGUUGAAAAAUCAAACUUUGCUUUGUGGGCACCGAAUUCAAUGCCCAUGAAAGUUGAUUUUUUUUUUUUCAAAAUUCAAUUUGCCAAGCAUUUUUAAACCAGAGCACUGAUAUUGGAACUAAACCCCAACAAAAUCUUGACAAAAAUACAUUCCAAAUUGCCCUCAUGAGUUGACUAUAUUUUAAUUUUAUUUUUUAAAGUUCACCUAAAAUAACUGAAUGUGCUAUUGUCAGCCGUUCCCCAAUCAUUUUUCUUUUGUAUAAAUUUUGAAUUACUCAUGAGUUCACUAUAUUCAACUCGUCGCUUUACUAUUGAAAAUGUUAAGUUAUCUCAUUUUUUAAAAAAAUAAGGGGGUGGGUGAAUAAAUUUUUAUUGGUCCUUUUAAUAAAAGCGAGAGCAAAUUACAAUUUUUAAAAAUAAGAAAGACUAUUUAAAGAUAGUUCAUUCAUAAAAAAAUAAUCUAAAAAAAUUGAUAAGCUUACGUGUGCAAGAUUUGGGAAGAUCUUAAUGAAUUUUCCAAUAAAGGUAAGAAGUAAGAAGAUAGAUAAAAGGGCCAAUAUUCUAUUCCUUGACUAAUUAAUCAAUACUUUAAAACUUCAAUGUCAGGAUUGUAAGUUUGAUCACGCAACUUGAUUGAAAGUUAAAGUACAAAUAGGUUAUAAGACAGUGUCUCAAGUUCAAGACAUAAUUCAACCACGACAGAAUACAUGAUGUUGAAGGAAAUAAAAUAACUUUUACUAUUAAGAAAAUAAUUGACAGAAAAUAAACUAUUUUAUGAAAAAAAAUAACUCUGUUUUGGUCAUGCAUCGCCCCUAAAACGAACUCAUUAAAAUAUAUGGUUAAUUAAAAUCAGAGUAUUUUUACAUUUUAUAGGACUGAUCAAGUUUUUAUCGUUUCAUACGGGUAUUAGUCCGUGAAGUUGUAUUUUGUAUGAGCCAAUUGAAUCCCUUCACUCAGAAAACCUUUGUAUUGAAUUCUUUAUUUAGGAUCAAACCUUCAUCUACCAUUUUGAGUUAUCUUAUAUUUCCUCACUUGCUGACAAUUGUUACAAGAUUAACACGUUAAUGAUAAAGUUAAACAAUAAUAACAAGCAGCAUGUAUGAGCAAUAUUAUUAUUGGAUUCUAUCUAAUUAAUAUUAAUGUUCAAACAUGCGUGCAUAAUUUGAAACAGAAAUAUUAUGCUUGCAUAAUUUCCCUUUCAAAAAUGCAACCAGUGCCUUAACUUUGCCCAUAGAGUACUGAACUUUAUUUCACACCUAUUUUAUUAAUUAUUAUAUAGGCAUCGGUGUGAAUAUGGUUUAGCUAUCAACUUAAAGUUUCAUUUCACUCUGGAUAGGCCUCGAUAAUAGAUUGUAAAGCUGGAAUUUUGAUGAUCUGGUAGCGAGGGAAGCCUCCUUCUUCCAAUAAUUUCUUCCACUCAAGCUCAGUCCUCUCUUUCCCGCCCGCGGUGUUAACCAUCAUAACUAAAUCAAAUGCAUAACCGGCGUCAUCAAACAGGCCUUGACCAUCAGGUUGUAAAAUAACAUCAAUAAUUAUCACUUUUCCAGUUUUUUCCGGUAUUGCUUUCCGGCAAUUCUUCAAAAUCUUUACACAAGCCUCAUCGCUCCAAUUGUGGAGCACCCACUGAACAAUAUUAAUUGCAAUGAAUUAAUUAUAUAAUAAAGUAAAAGUAUUCCAGACUACAUAUAUAAAUAUAGUGGUGAUUUAGUUCAGGAUCCUGAACUU